rnacentral:rRNA from 1 species
GACGAACGCUGGCGGCGUGCCUAAUACAUGCAAGUUGAGCGAUGAAGAUUGGUGCUUGCACCAAUUUGAAGAGCAGCGAACGGGUGAGUAACGCGUGGGGAAUCUGCCUUUGAGCGGGGGACAACAUUUGGAAACGAAUGCUAAUACCGCAUAACAACUUUAAACAUAAGUUUUAAGUUUGAAAGAUGCAAUUGCAUCACUCAAAGAUGAUCCCGCGUUGUAUUAGCUAGUUGGUGAGGUAAAGGCUCACCAAGGCGAUGAUACAUAGCCGACCUGAGAGGGUGAUCGGCCACAUUGGGACUGAGACACGGCCCAAACUCCUACGGGAGGCAGCAGUGGGGAAUCUUCGGCAAUGGACGAAAGUCUGACCGAGCAACGCCGCGUGAGUGAAGAAGGUUUUCAGAUCGUAAAACUCUGUUGGUAGAGAAGAACGUUGGUGAGAGUGGAAAGCUCAUCAAGUGACGGUAACUACCCAGAAAGGGACGGCUAACUACGUG